AUUGAACGCUGGCGGCAUGCCUUACACAUGCAAGUCGAACGGUAACAGGUCUUCGGAUGCUGACGAGUGGCGAACGGGUGAGUAAUACAUCGGAACGUGCCCAGACGCGGGGGAUAACGAGGCGAAAGCUUUGCUAAUACCGCAUACGAUCUAAGGAUGAAAGCAGGGGACCGCAAGGCCUUGCGCGUUUGGAGCGGCCGAUGGCAGAUUAGGUAGUUGGUGGGAUAAAAGCUUACCAAGCCGACGAUCUGUAGCUGGUCUGAGAGGACGACCAGCCACACUGGAACUGAGACACGGCCCAGACUCCUACGGGAGGCAGCAGUGGGGAAUUUUGGACAAUGGGCGAAAGCCUGAUCCAGCAAUGCCGCGUGCAGGAUGAAGGCCUUCGGGUUGUAAACUGCUUUUGUACGGAACGAAAAGGCUCUGGCUAAUACCUGGGGCACAUGACGGUACCGUAAGAAUAAGCACCGGCUAACUACGUG
rnacentral:rRNA from 1 species